AUAGCUAGGUGGACAACCACAUAUCACAGUAGUUAGUAUAUUCAGAUAGCUAGGUGAGACAACCACAUAUCACAGUAGUUAGUAUAUUCAUAUAGCUAGGUGGGACAACCACAUAUCACAGUAGUUAGUAUAUUCAGAUAGCUAGGUGAGACAACCACAUAUCACAGUAGUUAGUAUAUUCAGACAGCUAGGUGAGACAACCACAUAUCACAGUAGUUAGUAUAUUCAGAUAGCUAGGUGAGACAACCACAUAUCACAGUAGUUAGUAUAUUCAGAUAGCUAGGUGAGACAACCACAUAUCACAGUAGUUAGUAUAUUCAGAUAGCUAGGUGAGACAACCACAUAUCACAGUAGUUAGUAUAUUCAGAUAGCUAGGUGAGACAACCACAUAUCACAGUAGUUAGUAUAUU